rnacentral:lncRNA from 1 species
AGGGUAGCUGUAGAGCACUGACCCCAGUGGAGUUCUUCCAUCUUCCCAGUUCCAGUCAACUUCCCCGCAGAAACCUGCUGUGAAAAACAGGUCCAAGUCCACCGAGGAGAUCCAACAAGCCAAGAAGGCCUUCCACACCCCUCAGAAGUCACUCCCAGGUCGGUGUGACAUGGAGGAGCUCAAGGAGAAUCCGGAGGGUUCAGAGAUGCCCUCAUCUUCCUCAUCAGAGGAGCUGAAGUGAUACCCAGACGGAGUCGGAGGACAGCGUGGUGGUGCCAUGGCACGAUGAAGCACACAAAACUCAAAUGUGAACAUAUCCACACACACACACACACACACACACACACACACACACACACACACCAC